rnacentral:rRNA from 1 species
UACGUAGGGUGCAAGCGUUGUCCGGAAUUAUUGGGCGUAAAGAGCUCGUAGGCGGUUUGUCGCGUCUGCUGUGAAAACCCGAGGCUCAACCUCGGGCCUGCAGUGGGUACGGGCAAACUAGAGUGCGGUAGGGGAGAUUGGAAUUCCUGGUGUAGCGGUGGAAUGCGCAGAUAUCAGGAGGAACACCGGUGGCGAAGGCGGGUCUCUGGGCCGAUACUGACGCUGAGGAGCGAAAGCGUGGGGAGCGAACAGG